rnacentral:rRNA from 1 species
CAAACUUGGUCAUUUAGAGGAAGUAAAAGUCGUAACAAGGUCUCCGUUGGUGAACCAGCGGAGGGAUCAUUACCGAGUUUACAACUCCCAAACCCAAUGUGAACGUUACCAAACUGUUGCCUCGGCGGGGUCACGCCCCGGGUGCGUCGCAGCCCCGGAACCAGGCGCCCGCCGGAGGAACCAACCAAACUCUUUCUGUAGUCCCCUCGCGGACGUAUUUCUUUACAGCUCUGAGCAAAAAUUCAAAAUGAAUCAAAACUUUCAACAACGGAUCUCUUGGUUCUGGCAUCGAUGAAGAACGCAGCGAAAUGCGAUAAGUAAUGUGAAUUGCAGAAUUCAGUGAAUCAUCGAAUCUUUGAACGCACAUUGCGCCCGCCAGUAUUCUGGCGGGCAUGCCUGUCCGAGCGUCAUUUCAACCCUCGAACCCCUCCGGGGGAUCGGCGUUGGGGAUCGGGACCCCUCACACGGGUGCCGGCCCCUAAAUACAGUGGCGGUCUCGCCGCAGCCUCUCCUGCGCAGUAGUUUGCACAACUCGCACCGGGAGCGCGGCGCGUCCACGUCCGUAAAACACCCAACUUUCUGAAAUGUUGACCUCGGAUCAGGUAGGAAUACCCGCUGAACUUAAGCAUAUCAAUAAGCGGAGG